CGAACGCUGGCGGCGUGCCUAACACAUGCAAGUCAAGGAGAACGUUUCCUUCGGGGAAUUAUUAAACUGGCGAACGGGUGAGUAACGCGUAGGUUAUCUGCCCUAAUCCGGGACAUAACGUCGGGAAACCGGCGCUAAUAUCCCAUGUGAUCUUCGGAUUAAAGCUUCGGCGGAUUAGGAUGAGCCUGCGUCUGAUUAGCUUGUUGGUAAGGUAAUGGCUUACCAAGGCUUCGAUCAGUAACUGGUCUGAGAGGACGAUCAGUCACACUGGAACUGAGACACGGUCCAGACUCCUACGGGAGGCAGCAGUGAGGAAUAUUGGUCAAUGGGGGAAACCCUGAACCAGCGACGCCGCGUGUGGGAUGACAGGGCUUUGCCCCGUAAACCACUGUCAGGAGGGAAGAAAAAUCUGCUUAGCAGAAAGGGACUGUACCUCCAGAGGAAGGAUCGGCUAACUAC
rnacentral:rRNA from 1 species